rnacentral:rRNA from 1 species
GGCGGAUGCUUUAACAUGCAAGUCGAACGGCAGCACGGACUUCGGUCUGGUGGCGAGUGGCGAACGGGUGAGUAACAUAUCGGAACGUAUCCAAUAAUGGGGGAUAACGAGUCGAAAGAUUCGCUAAUACCGCAUACGCCCUACGGGGGAAAGCUGGGGACCUUCGGGCCUGGCGUUAAUGGAGCGGCCGAUAUCUGAUUAGCUAGUUGGUGAGGUAAAGGCUCACCAAGGCGACGAUCAGUAGCUGGUCUGAGAGGACGACCAGCCACACUGGAACUGAGACACGGUCCAGACUCCUACGGGAGGCAGCAGUGGGGAAUUUUGGACAAUGGGCGCAAGCCUGAUCCAGCCAUUCCGCGUGAGUGAAGAAGGCCUUCGGGUUGUAAAGCUCUUUCGCAAGGGAAGAAAACUUAGCCACUAACAUUGGCUGAGGUUGACGGUACCUUGAUAAGAAGCACCGGCUAACUACGUGCCAGCAGCCGCGGUAAUACGUGGGGUGCGAGCGUUAAUCGGAAUUACUGGGCGUAAAGCGUGCGCAGGCGGCUUUGUAAGUCAGAUGUGAAAUCCCCGAGCUCAACUUGGGAACUGCGUUUGAAACUACAAGGCUAGAAUAUGUCAGAGGGGGGUAGAAUUCCACGUGUAGCAGUGAAAUGCGUAGAGAUGUGGAGGAAUACCAAUGGCGAAGGCAGCCCCCUGGGAUAAUAUUGACGCCCAUGCACGAAAGCGUGGGGAGCAAACAGGAUUAGAUACCCUGGUAGUCCACGCCCUAAACGAUGUCUACUAGUUGUUGGUGGAGUAAAAUCCAUGAGUAACGCAGCUAACGCGUGAAGUAGACCGCCUGGGGAGUACGGUCGCAAGAUUAAAACUCAAAUGAAUUGACGGGGGCCCGCACAAGCGGUGGAUUAUGUGGAUUAAUUCGAUGCAACGCGAAAAACCUUACCU